UUGGAGGUUUGGAGGUUGGGGGACGAAGUGGUUCUUAUUGUUGGCAGGAGGUAGGGAGGAUUCGUGAUGGGGAUGGCGACAUGGGUGAUGGCUGGUUCGGUAAUAGUGUGUUGAGGAGGGUGGGAGAUGGGGAUGAAACGUUGUUUUGGACUCAUAGGUGGAUUGGGGGUUCCCUGCUUUGCGUGCAGUUUCCUCGGUUAUUUACGUUAGUUGAGAACAAAAAUGCCACAGUGGCUAAUUUGUUCUCCCUUGGUCUUAUGCAUGGUGGGGAGGGGUGGAGGUGGCGAUGCAGGUUGUGGGCGUGGGAGGAGGAAUUAUUAGAGGAGUGUAGGACUUUACUAUUUGAUGUCUCUGUUUUUCCUCAUGUUUCAGAUAAAUGGGUGUGGACCCCGGAUCCUGGUGGGGGUUACACUGUGAGUGGUGCUUAUGAUUUGUUGACAAACGGUGCUACUCCCAGUAUGAACACACAUUUGGAGUUGGUGUGACAUCAUCAGGUUCCUUUGAAGGUUGUGACCACGUUGAAACGGCCGAACACAUAUUUCUUAAUUGCACAACUUUUGCAUCGUUAUGGCAGCAUGUGCGUGAAUGGAUUGGUUUUGUGGGGGUCGAUUCUGAUAAUAUUUCCGAUCAUUUUUUACAAUUUACUUUGAUGACAGGUCCUGGUAAAGCUAAAUGUUCAUUCCUACAGCUAAUUUGGCUUAUGUGUAUUUGGGUUGUCUGGAACGAACGAAACAACCGGUUGUUCAAUAAUGUUGUAACUUUAGUUCCUUGCCUGUUAGACAAGGUUAAAUUGUUAUCUCUAGGGUGGCUGAAAGCCAACAAUGUCAUGUUUGUUUUUGGCACGCAUAUGUGGUGGUCAAGCUCUUUAACUUGUUUGGGCAUUGACUAAGCUCUUGUGUUUUUACUUUUCAUUACUGGCAUACUCUGUUGUACCGAAGUAGAUUCCUAGGCACACCUUAUGCGUGUGAACUGCUUUUUGAUUUGGUUAUAUAAUUUCAUUUUGGUUUGUUAAAAAAAAAAA